rnacentral:lncRNA from 12 species
CAAAAAUCAGAUUCGUGGAGGUUGUUUGGGGAGGAGGAAAGGAGAGAAAAUGUGGGUGCUGCACAAUAGCUAAACAGAAAUGUGGACUGAUGAGCACAGCCAUCCAUCCAUCCAUCCAUCCAUCCAUCCAUCCCUGCAUGAAGCACACAUUGUGCAUUUGAGACAACCACCUGCUUCACCUGCUGACAGGUUUUGACUUUAUGUCUGGACCUUGCGUUGAUAGAGGCAAUAUAAUCCAAACUAUGCUUUCAUAAUACAACUGCACUUUCA